rnacentral:rRNA from 1 species
UACAGAGGGUGCGAGCGUUAAUCGGAAUUACUGGGCGUAAAGCGCACGUAGGCGGUCUUUUAAGUCGGGGGUGAAAUCCUGGAGCUCAACUCCAGAACUGCCUUCGAUACUGGAAGACUCGAGUCCGGGAGAGGUGAGUGGAACUGCGAGUGUAGAGGUGAAAUUCGUAGAUAUUCGCAAGAACACCAGUGGCGAAGGCGGCUCACUGGCCCGGUACUGACGCUGAGGUGCGAAAGCGUGGGGAGCAAACAGG